UGGCAAUGCGUUCAGCUGCCAGCGUCAAUCUCACAGAGAAUAAGCGCACACUGGAGCUGAGCAGAGCCGGC
rnacentral:pre_miRNA from 1 species